GCUUACACAUGCAAGUCGAACGGUCCUUUCGGGGAUAGUGGCGGACGGGUGAGUAACGCGUGAGAAUCUGCCUUUAGGACGGGGACAACAGUUGGAAACGGCUGCUAAACCCGAUGUGCCUUCGGGGUGAAAUAUUUAUAGCCUGAAGAUGAGCUCGCGUCUGAUUAGCUUAGUUGGUGCGGUAAUGGCGCACCAAGGCGACGAUCAGUAACUGGUCUGAGAGGAUGACCAGUCACACUGGGACUGAGACACGGCCCAGACUCCUACGGGAGGCAGCAGUGGGGAAUCUUCCGCAAUGGGCGAAAGCCUGACGGAGCAAUACCGCGUGAGGGACGAAGGCUUUUGGGUCGUAAACCUCUUUUCCCUGAGAAGAAGAUCUUGACGGUAUCAGGCGAAUCAGCAUCGGCUAACUUCGUGCCAGCAGCCGCGGUAAUACGAGGGAUUGCAAGCGUUAUCCGGAAUUAUUGGGCGUAAAGCGUCCGCAGGUGGCUCUGUAAGUCUGUCGUUAAAGAAUGGGGCUCAAACCCCAUACAGGCGAAUGGAAACUACAAGGCUAGAGUU
rnacentral:rRNA from 1 species